rnacentral:rRNA from 1 species
CCUUGCCAGCCCGCUCAGAACUUAAAGGAAUUGACGGGGGCCCGCACAAGCGGUGGAGCAUGUGGUUUAAUUCGAUGAUACGCGAGGAACCUUACCUGGGCUCAAAUGUAUGUUGACGUAUUCUGAAAGGGAUACUUCUUCGGACAAUAUACAAGGUGCUGCAUGGUUGUCGUCAGCUCGUGCCGUGAGGUGUCGGGUUAAGUCCCAUAACGAGCGCAACCCCUAUCAUUAGUUGCCAUCAGGUAAUGCUGGGGACUCUAAAGGAACUGCCUACGCAAGUAGUGAGGAAGGCGGGGAUGACGUCAAAUCAGCACGGCCCUUACGUCCAGGGCUACACACGUGCUACAAUGGCCGAUACAGAGGGCAGCUACCUGGUGACAGGAUGCAAAUCUCCAAAGUCGGUCUCAGUUCGGAUCGGAGUCUGCAACCCGACUCCGUGAAGUUGGAUUCGCUAGUAAUCGCGCAUCAGCCAUGGCGCGGUGAAUACGUUCCCGGGCCUU